rnacentral:rRNA from 1 species
AACGAACGCUGGCGGCAGGCUUAACACAUGCAAGUCGAACGCCUGUAGCAAUACAGGAGUGGCAGACGGGUGAGUAACACGUGGGAACGUGCCCAAAGGUACGGAACAACUCCGGGAAACUGGAGCUAAUACCGUAUGUGCCCGAGAGGGGAAAGAUUUAUCGCCUUUGGAUCGGCCCGCGUCUGAUUAGCUAGUUGGUGGGGUAAUGGCCUACCAAGGCGACGAUCAGUAGCUGGUCUGAGAGGAUGGCCAGCCACACUGGGACUGAGACACGGCCCAGACUCCUACGGGAGGCAGCAGUGGGGAAUAUUGGACAAUGGGCGCAAGCCUGAUCCAGCCAUGCCGCGUGAGCGAUGAAGGCCUUAGGGUUGUAAAGCUCUUUCGCCAGGGACGAUAAUGACGGUACCUGGAUAAGAAGCCCCGGCUAACUUCGUGCCAGCCGCCGCCGUAAUAC